rnacentral:lncRNA from 1 species
AUGGAAGAUUGGAAACAUAAGAGCCACCAUAAAGAAGAGAAAUUGUCCCCUGGGAAAAGAGAGAAGCAGCACAGCUGCCAGCCAUUGGAACUUCCACAUGGGAAGCUGACAGGAAGCAGGCCCAGCACAGGACACAGGUUCCAGAGAUGGCCUCAUCCUCAUCAGGCCACACACAAAGGGCACACCUGAUCCCAGAGGAGACCUCAGCCUCAUCUGAGAGGUAUUUGGGACCAUGAUACCCCUCAGUGCAAGCCCUUCACAUGGAUUAGC